GACGAACGCUGGCGGCGGGCUUAACACAUGCAAGUCGAACGGCAAGGCUCCAGCUUGUUGCAGUACUCGAUUGGCGAACGGGUGCGUAACACGAGGGCAUUCUGCCCUGCACUCUGGGAUAAGCCUGGGAAACUGGGUCUAGUACUGGAUAUGACCGUUCUCCUUUUGGGGUUUGGUGGAAAGUCGUUCGGUGUAGGAUGAGCCCGCGGCCUAUCAGCUUGUUGGUGGGGUGAUGGCCUACCAAGGCGACGGCGGGUAGCCGGCCUGAGAGGGUGAUCGGCACACUGGGGACUGAGAUACGGGCCAGACUCCUACGGGAGACAGCAGUGGGGAAUAUUGCACAAUGGGCGCAAGCCUGAUGCAGCGACGCCGCGUUAGGGAUGAUGGCCUUCGUGUUGUAAACCUCAUUCAGCAGGGACGAAGCGUAAUUGACGGUACCUGAAGAAGAAGCACCGGCUAACUCUGUG
rnacentral:rRNA from 1 species